rnacentral:rRNA from 1 species
CACCUACGGGUGGCUGCAGUUAAGAAUCUUGCGCAAUGGACGAAAGUCUGACGCAGCGACGCCGCGUGAAGGAUGAAGGCUUUCGGGUUGUAAACUUCGGUAGACUGGGAAGAAAAAGUAAGUUCGUUGAGGGCUUACAUUGACGGUACCAGUCUGAAGCCCCGGCUAAUUACGUGCCAGCAGCCGCGGUAAUACGUAUGGGGCAAGCGUUGUUCGGAAUUAUUGGGCGUAAAGGGCUCGCAGGUGGUUUGUUAAGUUGGGGGUUUAAUCUCUGGGCUCAACCCAGAGUCAGCCUUCAAAACUGGCGAACUUGAGUACGAUAGGGGAUAGCGGAAUUCUCGGUGUAGCGGUGGAAUGCGUAGAUAUCGAGAGGAACACCAAUGGCGAAGGCAGCUAUCUGGAUCGUAACUGACACUCAUGAGCGAAAGUGCGGGGAGCAAACAGGAUUAGAUACCCUGGUAGUCCGCACCGUAAACGUUGUAUACUAGUUGUUGGUGGUUUCAACGCCAUCAGUGACGUCGCUAACGCAUUAAGUAUACC